rnacentral:rRNA from 1 species
AACGCAGCGAAGGGCGAUACGUAAUGUGAAUUGCAGAAUUCAGUGAAUCAUCGAAUCUUUGAACGCAUAUUGCGCUCUUUGGUAUUCCGAAGGGCAUGCUUGUUUGAGUAUCAGUAAACACCUCAACCUCCUCUUGUUUUUUCAAAAGGAGGGUGGACUUGAGCUAUCCCAACAACCUUCACCGGUAGGCGGGCGGCUUGAAAUGCAGGUGCAGCUGUCUUUUAUCUGAGCUAAAAGCAUAUCUAUUUAGUCACACAAACUUACUUGCAUCUGAAAUCAAGCAGGAUCACCCGCUGAACUUAA